rnacentral:lncRNA from 1 species
UUGCCUGCAACAUGGAAAGCUCUCUGGGGCAGUGAGGAACCUGAGAAGGCUGUGGAAGAAGCCUGUGAGCUUCUGAAAAUAUUGGAAAAUGAGCUCAAAGACAAGAAGUUCUUCGCAGGAGAAACCGUUGGACUUGUGGACAUUGUUGCCAACUUCAUAGCCUUCUGGCUUAGAGCCAUUCAAGAACUUGUUGGAGUGGAGCUGUUGAGCAAAGAGAAGCUUCCCAAACUCUACAACUGGAGCGAUGAGUUUUGUAGUGUUUUUCAGGAAAAUCUGCCUCCCAAAGAUAGAUUAGUUGCUCACUUCCGUGGUCGCCUACAAAGCACCACCACCACUACUACUUCCAGCUAAUUAAAAGGGUUCAUAAAUCAGUCAUAAGAUGGUUUACUUCGAAGCAUUUCGUAGUUCAUGAUAUUUAUAAGAAUAAAUGCAGGAUUGCACUUGUGGCUAGAUCGCGUUCUCUUGUGCGUGCACGCUCGCGUAUGAUGCAUAUUUAUCUUGUUAGACGUGAUAUUACUAUGUACUCUAAGCUAGAUUGAGGGUUGGGCAGAGUUCGAACACCGAAGUGCAAUGAAUUGACGAAGAAUGUCUAAUCCACUUAGGUAAUCCAUCAUUUGCAAAGUACUUAGUUACUUAUAUAUUCUAUAUAGUGCCAUAUUUUUUUUUAAUGAAAUCUCUGAAAUAAAAGUUUUCCAACUAAUUAUCAUUGAAAUAUAUGAUUUACCAUUUACCCAUUUACAUAUAAUCAGAACAACGUUAACUAUAAUAUUUGCCUCCUACAGAAAAAUGUAAAAAAUACAUAGUAAAUCAGUAUAUAAUACGCGUAUGACAAAUGAAUUUUUCAAAAUAAUUCUAUUUUCCGUACAAGUUUCAAUAAUUCAUUAAAUUACACAUUUUAGAACCUUAACAUACAAUAUUCGUAUUAUACACGUACUUACAUACAUUUCAUGUUUAGUACACGUUAUUUUCACACAUCUUUCAGUGUCACACAUGUGAUGCCCCUAUCUCGACAUUCGUCCAUGAUCGACACGUGAUGUUAGAACAUACCAACAUCUAACUUACCUACCUUUCUCGAGACAUGACCAGAAAUAACGAACAGUUUUAUACCGUAGUAUCGUUUCCUAUUAUUUUAUAAGUGCAUCUAACCUUUGCGUUAGACUGUCUACGUACCCUGUCACAGGAUCAAGUCAUUCAUAGUUCACUCUUAGAUAAACUCUAACAUUUCUCAUGGCAUUCCUAACUAUAAAUAUAAAGUUAUAGUUAACUUUGAAUGUAAGUGAUGAAUCUAUAUGUCAUUCCAUCUUUCACAUACUUCAAAAAGAUUUCUAAUAACAAAACCAUAACCAAUAACAUUUCAAUGGAUCAACAAGGCAAAAAGUUUAAUAUUUACCCACAUUAAUCAAUCAAUACUAUCAAACAUCACUUCACUAAUCGUAACAAAGCCAACAUCUGUAAGGAUUGCCGUAAUUUUACACUAGUAUUAUAAGGAAACAACAUUGUAAUCUUAAAUUACAAAUACAAGUGUAACCUUGAGCAACAUCUACUCACAAGAAUCUAACGUUCCGGACCAACUCAACGCAACCAACUUGGGAAAAGGAUUAUGGACCAAGGGAUUCCAGACCAACUCAACUUAAUCCAGCUAUAGAAUGCGCAUUGACCCCCAAUGUGGAUUAACCAGGUGGAACCAUAGGCAUCCAUCCAAUAGGGUGGUUCCCCAAUACGGAUUAACCAAGCAGAACCACCUAUGGAUCUAAUGUGGUUAGGUAAACAAUGAUCCCUAAAUGCGGAUUAACCAUGCGGAAUCACCCCUAUAAUGCAUAUGGUUCCCCAAUGCAGAUUAGCCAGACAAAACCAUCUAUGGAAAUAAUGAAGCCAAGUAGGCAGUGACCCACAAAUGCGGAUUAACCAGGUAGAGUCACCCCUAGAAUGUGUAGGGUCCCCUAACGUGAAUUAACUAGGGGGACACUUAUAGAAGUAAUGAACCACGUAGGCAAUGACACCCAUUGCAGAUUAAUCAGGCAGAGUCACUCUUACAAUGCAUAUGGUCCCCCAAUACGAAUUAACCAGCGGGAUCAUCCAUGUACCACAUUGUUACAUGGUGCAAUCACAUUAUCACACAUCAUAAAUCCUAUUAUACAUUCAUUCAACAUGAAUCACAAUUGUAAGUACACACAUGCACUAUUGAAUCCACAUGAACAACAAUUAUCUAAUCACACAUAUGUACAAGUUCUACAUAAUACUUCUAAUAUGGCCACCAUCUUAUCUCCUCAUACUAGUAUUUGCACAAUAUCGUUACUGUCAUUUAGAAUUCAAUACACACAUAAAUUCUGGUUAGGUGUCACUUACAUGCAAUUCGAGGCACACAUCCUCCAAGCAGUGUUCUAAAAGUCGGCCUAAACGGCUGCCUAGGCGAUGGGUAGCAGGUUGCCGAUCCGAUUAAGCCCAAAUCGUUGUAUAAGUCGGAAAACUCAUUCGACAACGCCAUGCAAGAAUCUAGGCGGGAUAGGCGGAGUAGGCGGGGCUGGGCGGCUAGGAGAUCUGCCUGGGUAGUUGAUUUCUUAUGGAAAAAUAAUAGUAGCCACAAUGAAAAUUAUGAAGUUUGGUGACCACUGAGAAAAACUGGAGAAGAUAGAAGGUCAGAGCAACGAAUGAGAAAACGAUGAAUAGUUAAAAAUAAACUCGGCUUACGACGUCGUUUCCUUAUCGUUAUAUUAUAUUUAAUUCAAUUGGAUGCCAACAUAUUCCCAUUGUCCAAAGUUAAAUGGACUUGAAAAUUAAUGGACAUUUGACCCAAUCAACAUCGUCCAGUAUGAAUCUAGUAAUACAAAUGAUAAUGGGCUUUUUCAUUUCUAAUUUUUUAUUAGAGUAAGAAGACUUACAAUAAGUUUUUAAUAUAUUUGCUAUUUUUAAGUAUAAGAAUGUAAGUAUUCAUAUGUUUUAUGAUAAAUUUAAUUAAAAUAAAGGAACCACCCAACCCAACCCAACCCACUAGUACUUUUAUUAUGAACCACCCAACCCACUACGUGGGAUUUUUACUUUUUAAAAAAAAAAAUUAGAUAUAAUCAUUUAAAAUGUCUUAAGUUAUAUAGCAUAUAUGUUUAAUGUGUUUUUAAAUUUUGGACUUGUUAGAUACUCUUUUUGUAUUUUAUCAUUCUUUUAUUAUCUUAUUUAUAGAUUUUAUACAAGUAUAAUUUUUUAUGUGUCAAUAUGCACUUAUUUAUAAGAUAUACAAGAAAUUUACCUAAAUCUGCCUAGGCCGCCUAGACGCCCGCCUAAAUCCCGCCUAGGUGCUAGACGCCAGUCCGCCGCCUGACUAACGCUUAGCGUUUUUUUAGAACCUUGCCUCCAUGAUGGCUCAUUGAGCAAGAUACGUCCACUAAACUUUGUCAAGUCUCUAGUAAACUAAAUUUGAGUAAUUAAAGACGUUUUGGGAAAUUUGACCAAAAGUCAACCCUUGGUCAACGCGAUCAACGGUAAGGUCAACAACCAUAUGUAAUCUAAUCCGGUAGAUCCAUACAUCAGAAUUCGAUCCAUAAAUUUUUAAAUCCUCAAAUAUUAUGUAUAACCACAUGCUAUAAUUUCAUGACAAUCCAACGCCCAGAUUGUACGUUCAAUAACUAUAUUAAUCCAAUCGCAAGAUCCGUAUGUUAGAUUUCAUAUCCAUAAAUUCCUAAGGUCCUCAGAACAUACAAACAACAACACACUAUAAUUUCAGGACGAUCCAACGAGAUAUUUAUCCACUAAAAAGAUCAAGUGGUAGUAAAUUACGAAACUAGGUCCAAAUGAUCGAAUUGCGUCAAACGGGGGUAUCAAAAAUAGAUUCAAAGCAUGAAGGUGGUUUCCAUCGGGAUGACAAUGGAUCGUUGGAAACCCUAAAAUCGUUCAAACGCCGAUUUGACGUCACCGGGGCUCCCACAGCAUGAACCUUGAUUGGGUUUUGUUGGGGGUCAAGGUGAGUUGAAAACUAGUGAGGGUCAACGUCGGAAUGCACGGAGGACGAUGAUCGUCGGUCGGGAAACUUGGGGAUUCCAUGGUUUUGAUCUGCCACGAACAGCAGCCAAACGACGAAGACUUGGGGUGGAAAAUAAAGCUUGAGGAGCACUGAGUCGAUCUGCGGUGGCGUUGGUUUCAUCGUCGUCGGAAUUCGACGAGAUCGUCGUCAGAAAUUCACCUGGGAAGCAAGGCAUCGAGGGCUAGACAAUAGAGAAACGGGUCGUACAUACUCAGUUUUUAUUUCGGAACCCCCCUAAUAUGGGCUAGGUUGAGCUGCCAUAUAUGAGUGAAAUUACCAUUUUGCCCUUAAUUUUGGAAGCUCGUAGUUCAUUCCAACUCCGUUUUGUAUAUAGUUUUCAUCUACGUGCUCAUAGGAUGGAGCUCAAUCCAAAAACACUAAGAGUGGCCUAAAAAAGUCUACGAAAUUUUUAUUAAGAAAAAUCAAAUUUUAUAACUAAAUAACCAAAUUUCCAAAAUUAAAUGAAAUAUAAGAUUAAUUUUCCUAAAAAAUACGAAAUAUGAAUUAUUGAAUAGUGGAAUUCGGUAUUGGGAUUUCACAACACAUAUUGUGAACGUUUUUAAUUUAAUAUAUUAUUGAAGAAAUAAAAUAAUUAUUUAAUCUAUUAAAAUGUUAAAAAUGGUCAAAUAUUUUAAAGUAAUUUUUUAGAAAAGUUACCAAAUAAUGCACGUACUUAUUUUUCACGUACUAUACCCCGUUUCGUAUUUUACUAACUAUGAGAAGUGACAAAUUUUUUCUUAAUAUAUAUAUAUAUAUAUAAUGUAACAUCCCACAUCGUCCAGGGGAGUGAUCCUUAAAUGUAUAUUCUCAUCCCUACCUAGCACGAGGCCUUUUGGGAGCUCACUGGCUUCGAGUUCCGUAGGAACUCUGAAGUUAAGCGAGAAGGAUGCCAGAGCACUCCCAGGAUGGGUGACCCACUGGGAAGUUGCUCGUGAGUUCCCAAAAACAAAACCGUGAGGGAAUGGUAAGCCCAAAGCGGACAAUAUCGUGCUACGAGAAGGAUGCCAGAGCACUCCCAGGAUGGGUGACCCACUGGGAAGUUGCUCGUGAGUUCCCAAAAACAAAACCGUGAGGGAAUGGUAAGCCCAAAGCGGACAAUAUCGUGCUACGGUGGUGGAACGAGCCCGGGAAGUGGUCCCCCCCGGGGCCGGGAUGUGACAAAAUGGUAUCAGAGCCAAUCCCUGGCCGGAAAUGUGCCGACGAGGACGUCGGGCCCCUAAGAGGGGUGGAUUGUAACAUCCCACAUCGCCCAGGGGAGUGAUCCUUAAAUGUAUAUUUUCAUCCCUACCUAGCACAAGGCUUUUUGGGAGCUCACUGGCUUCGGGUUUCGUAUGAACUCUGAAGUUAAGCGAGAAGGAUGCCAGAGCACUCCCAGGAUGGGUGACCCACUGGGAAGUUGCUCGUGAGUUCCCAAAAACAAAACCGUGAGGGAAUGGUAAGCCCAAAGCGGACAAUAUCGUGCUACGGUGGUGGAACGGGCCCGGGAAGUAGUCCGCCCCGGAUCGGGAUGUGACAUAUAAUGCCUUGUUUCCUAUGAUGCCAUCGAAAACAAAGGUUUACUACCAUCUGUGACCAAAACUAUUAUCUUUUAAUAUCACCCAGUUGUAAUUAUUAAUAAGAUUAGUAGUCCUCUCUUUUUCGGGCGCUCUAUAAAACCUUCUAGUGAGGAGAUUAGUCCACGCGAGUCCUCUUUAAUCUCAUUAAAUUUAGUUCAUGCACGUAAUAAAUACAGGAUUAUACUAAUAAGUAAUCAAGUCCAGUCUAUUGAAAGUUAGUGAUGCCAAAAAAAUUACCCUAAGGGCCCGUUUGUUUGGCUUCUCUAAGUCUCACUGGACUGGAUUGGAGUAUAGUCCAGUGUUUGUUUGGAACACGGACUACUUUUAAUGGUACUACGAGGGACUCACCUCGACUAGCAACCUCCUUAGAUGGUCUUACAGAGACCCCCCGAAAACAACAGGACUGCUAAGACCGGCUUUGUUCGUCAGCUUCACUUGUCUUCUUCGUUUGUCUGCUUCGCUCGCCAACUUUCCCAACGGGUCUCAAAUCGCUGGGCUCCAGCUCGGAGAAGAGUCUGGGUUGGCUGGAUCUGGGGCCUUGGAAGAUGACGGUGGUUUGUUGUUUGAUACAGGAUCUGCUGCCAUGGUUGUCCAGUAAUUACCAAACUGCCUUCUCUCUCGCUCGUCGGAUAAUUGUCGACUUCCUCACCCGACUGAUUAGUAAUCGAAUUGAAGGUGAGGUGGGUUUUUUACCCGACUUCCUCACUCGUCGGAUACUUGUCGACUUCCUCACCCGACUUUCUGAGAAUGUGUGAAAAGAAUAGAAUUGCUGAUGAGAGAGAGAGAGAGAGAGAGAGAGAGAGAGAGAGAGAUUGAGAGGGAGAUGGACGGGAAAGUGGAGAGAUUUGGGGAAGGAGACGAGAAUUCUAGAAAAAGAAAAUGAAAAUGAAAAUAAAAGAAAAAAAAGUAUUAAAAAACAUAUAGAUUAAAUAGUAUAAUAUUAUAAUUUGAUAAUUUAUAAAAACAUAUUAAAAAAGAUAGGGAUUAAAUAAUAUAAUUUUAGAGUUUGUUAAUUAUUCUGCUUCUUAGUCCGAUACUGCACCAAACGCUUCACUAAGUUAGUCCAGUUUAGUCUAGUCUAAGCCAGUCCAGCUUAGUCCCUAAAACUAGUCCAGUCCGAGACAGUCCGGUGCAACAAACGCACCCUAAAAGGACUAAAUAGCCUAAAUGGGUACUACUGCCACUGCAUCUGACCGAGGAGAAGAUUUUGAACAUAUUAUCUGGUGAUCCAUCUGUUUUGAGACUUUAUGGCUUAUUGAGGCCUAACUUACCUUGUUGAAAAUAGAAUAAAGUCACUUUCAAGGCUUGGAAGCCCAACCUGAAUAGCAUUUUGAGGCCCAAUUGCCUAUUCGUUGCAAAUUGUUAGCAGUUUGUCGGUAUUUUGAUCUGGAGACUUCUAAUUGCAACCUAAAUCUAAUUAUCUAAUCAACAUACCUAGUACCUACCAUUUGAAGAGUUUUUUCUCUUUAUUUGUGAACUAGAGGUCUUAAGUUUGAUUCCUCUGAAUUUGAGUUCAACACGAUUAGAGUUAGCUCAUUAAGUAGCUCAUUUAGCUCAUCAAGUCUGCAAAGUGUAGAUUUCCAACAUCUGACAUAAUCCAAACAGACACCAAACACCGUACUCCGUAUUAUUAGUAUUAUCCGAUGUUUUAUACGGUGUGCCAAACAGGGCCUAAGUAGCUUAAAUAUCCACCCUCUAUAUUGUUGUUUAAAGAGAAAAGGGCAUUGCAUCAUUGACACUCAAAAUCUCAUUAUUAUAUACUACUCAUAAGUGUAUUUUACUUUUUGAAUAAUGAAGUUUGAAUUGUACAAUAAAGUUUUUGAAAGUAGCACCACCCAACAAAAAUAGUUUAAAACUUUAAGAUGUCUUGGUCACAAUAUAUUGAUUAUUGAGGCCCUUAACGAUAAGCAAUGACGAAACACAUCGAAAGCAGAAUUUAAAAUUUACAUAAGUUGGACUAAUUGAACCCAAAAGGAGAAUAAUAUAAUAUCAAUACAGCAGACAAGCUCAUUUGAAUGGACCUGGAUUGUCUGUCAUUCUCAUCCCCUCCUAUUUUUGUGGUCACGAUUAAGCCACGUUAACAUUUUAUAUUCCUAUAGUUUUUUGUUUUUUUAUUUUUAUAAAAAAAAUCAAUAUAAAAUAUUAACGUGACUUAACCGUGAUCACAUAAAUAAAAGAGGAUGAGAAUAAGAUGGGAUUGGGGAUGGUAGACAAUCCAAGUCUCGUUUGGAUAUGGUUUUCAAUGAAGAAUUAUCAAUAAAGCAGAUUUUCUAGAUCUUUCCUCAAUCAAAUCACCAUUAAUUUUAAAAUUAUUAUUGACUGCUGAACAUUGUGUAGGGUUGUCAUAGCGGCCAAAAACAGUUUUCCUACCGCUAUAAAACCCCAAAAGGAAGAUUAAACCAGUCAUAAUAUGCACACAAGAAGGAGAUUAAUUAGUGUUAAACUUGAUUAGUUAGUGCUUAUAGCAUGGCUGAAGAGGUGAAGCUGUUGGGGGUUUGGGGAAGCCCAUAUAGUAGGAGAGUGGAAAUAGCUCUGAAGCUGAAAAAUGUGGAGUAUGAAUUUGUUGAGGAGGACCUGCAGAGCAAGAGUGCUUUGCUUCUGAAAUCCAACCCAGUUCAUCAGAAGAUCCCUGUGCUCCUGCACAAUGGCAAACCAUUAGCUGAGUCCCAGGUCAUUCUCGAGUACAUUGAUGAGACCUGGAAGGAGGGUUUCCCCAUUUUGCCUAAAGAUCCUUAUGAAAGAGCCCAGGCACGUUUCUGGGCUAGGUUCAUUGAUGAAAAGGUAAAAAUGUUUCACUUUAAUCUUUGUGCAUUAAGCAUGUAAGAAAAGUUAUCUUGCUUAACAGUGAAUCUGAAUCAUUGAUGAUCAAGGUUAUUUUUAAUAAGGUUGAUUGUAGCAUGAAUUUAUGAUUAACAUUCUCUUAACAUAAGCAUGUGCAUGACGAUUUUUGCAUUGAGUAUAUAUAUUAGCUAGAAAUGCUUUUGUGACCACCAUGUAGAAAUAUUAAUAUUAAAACAACUUUAAUAUUGUUUUUUUUUUAGAAAACCUGGACGGUAUAGAACAACUUUAACAUUAAUAUUUCAACACUUCCCCUUAAUGUGAAGUAGGUGAUUUCUUUGAGCUUCCUAUGACUUGUGGAACUUUAUUCUUUGGAUUUUCGGAUUUUGAUGCUAACAUGGAUGUCACAAGAACUUUUAGAGCAUCUCCAAUAGAAAUGUCAAAAGAUAAAUGUUAAAUGUUAAUUUGAUGGCUAAUGUAGCAAUGUAAGAUUUUCUUCUUUUCCAACUAAUUUUUUUUUUGUUAUAAAUGAUACUUGUAGGACUCAUUUUAAAAAGAAAUCAAUUAAAGUAAAUUUUCAAGAUUUAUAAUUGGUCCAUUAAUGGGAUCCAUACAACAAAAUAAUUAAAAAUUAUUUAACAUCACAUUUUCUCAUAUGUUAAAUUUGACAUAUGAAAACUCAGACCAUCUUCAAAGGAGAUGUCAAAUCCUACGUGGAAUGUCAUGUAAUCAAAUUUGAAGGUAUGAGCAAACUCCAAUCGAUAUGUCAAUAUGUGAAUUGACAAAUGAGUUUUUAUAUGUCAAAUUUGACAUGUGAGAAAAUGUGAUAUCAAAUAAUUUUUAAUUAUUUUAUUGUGUGGAUCUCAUUAAUGCACCAAUUAUAAAUCAUGAAAAUUUAUUUUAAUUGAUUUCUUUUUAAAAUGGGUCAUAUAAAUAUUAUUUAUAACAAAAAAACAAUCAAUUAGAAAAAGAGAAAAUAUAAUAUUGCUACAUCAGCCAUUAAAUUAACAUUUAACAUUUAUCUUUUGACAUCUCAUUUGGAGAUGUUCUCAUAUGUCUAUCCACGUAGAAUUGAUUUAUCGGUUGGAGCUUGUUCCAACCUUCAAAUUUGAUUACAUAACAUUUCAUUAAAUAUUUGACAUCUCCUUUGGAUAUAGUCUUAAAACUGCCAUCUUUUUGCCUUCGGAUUUCUUGACACGAGAGUGAUUUUCUUUUCCUCUUUUUUGAAUUUGGAUCCUCUUUGUAAGGAUCAUGAAAAUCCCUUAAUCCUGUUUGUUUAUCGUAAAUCGUGUAAUCGUAAAUUAUUUUAAAUAUUUUUAUUUAAAAUUAAACGCAAACAGUACUUGAUAAAAACUGAUUGCAUAAUGUACAAUAAACAUAUAUAGUUUAUGAAUCUUAAAAUUCUCACUAAAAAAAUCCGAAGAGGAUCUUGAUGGCUCUUUUUUGCCUCUUUGGGGUGCUAACUUUGAAGAUUACCAUCCUUCUCCCAUUUUUUUCUCUCUGUCUGCCAUCUUCGCGUGGACUCCCCCUUUCAUUUACUCUUUUUUUUUUUCUCUCUCUUUCUUUGGGUCGGUCUGGGACAAUUUCAAAAAGCAUUUUUUGCACAACAUUUCUGACAAUCUGGAGUGGAUGUAAAACUUAAUGAACCUCGGGUUAAUACUACAAAGGUUUUGGAUCCAUGCAUACGUUAAACUUGAUGAUAUGAUGAUGUGACAAUUCAAGGUUUUACAAGUCAUUGCUCGGAUUCAAGCUUCUUACACUUUCAUCUUCUACUCAAUGAAAAAUCUUAUGUUCAUUUUUAGUAAUUGAUCUAGAUUGAGAAAUUUUAUUUGAAUUCAUAUAAUUUCUUUCUACACUUAACUUACUCUUUACGUCCAUACUAAUUUUAAUGCAAGAAUCAAUAUCAUUUUAACUCCAAAUUUACUAACAAAAAUACCCUCACAACCUCAAUUUAAUUGUGUAAUUUAUCUUUACACGCAUUUGGAAAAUAAAAUCCCAAAAUCAAACAUUUGUCGUGCAGGUCAUUAACGUUCGAAUAUUAAACUGUAAUUCCUCUAGACGAACCAAAUAUUGAGCCUUACAUACUUGCAAAGAUCUAGAUGUCUAGUUUACUGAGAAUUUUACGGUUUGUGAUUCCAAUUUUUCUAGGAGAUGUUAUUACUAUUUUGGUGCAGACAUCUCAAAAUCAAAGAUUCGAAUAAUAAAAUGUAAUUCAUCGAGAUGAACCAAAUAUUGAGUCUUAUUUGCUUAGAAAUAUCUGAAUGUUUAGUUUAUAGAGAAUUUUACGGUUCGUGAUUCCAAUUUUUCUAGAAGACGUUAUUGUUAUUCUAGUGCAAACAUCGCAAAAUAAUUAUUUCCUGCGAAUUUGCAAGUAAUGUCGAGAUUCUGGAGAUUUAGUUGGGUCCAAAUCAGAAAGCCAAAGAUUUGUUUCUUUGAUCAAUGUCACCCCAAAUCAAUGCCCUGUAGAGCAUGCUAUCUUUACGCACGUACACGACACGAUUGCCCAAUAAAAGUCUUUGUAGGCAUCUUCAGGUAGUAAAGAACCAAAACACUUGGUAACACAAGAUACAGAUGUAUAAUUCCUAAAAAAAAAGUUGAUGUAGGCAUAUUGUCAAACUAACCAAGAGUGGAUUGUUCUAAAAAAAAACUCAUCCAUUCCACAAACUGUGAUCCACCAUAAUCAAACUCAAUCAAACACUAUGCCAAAUAUAUUGUAAACCCGAAUUCUGCUUCAGAUGAGGACCCAUAAUUUCUCUAAUGGCUAAAACGAAUUUAAUUUAGAAGUAAAAGAUGCAAUUCAAAGGAACAUACGAAGAGGACACAAAAAUAUAAGAAACUCCACAGUCACCAAAUUCUUGUUUCUAAACACUAAAAAAAACUAAAAUCAAACAAAAAAAACUUGCAUAAAUCGAUUCAUAUUUUAGUUAGAGGAUUCAAAACUUCAAAAUCACCAAGCAUGAGUAAAAAAGAGUUUGAUUUUCUCUACAAGAGCUCUUAGGGUUUUAGUCAGUUUGAACAUAAGAUAAAAAUUGAUGAUGGUAGAAUUUGAUUAUUGGAUAUGGGUUUAUUGAUAAAUUUUCAUUUUAUUGUUAAUUUCAUAUUGUACUUUAUGACAAUUACACAACAGGAUAAAAAAAAAAGAUAAUUCACUUUAAAAUUUAAAUUGGGUGGAGAAAGAGGUCAAAUGGUUCCAAAAAAAAAAUAUUAUCAUUGUUGCAGUCCUAUUAAAUUAGGAAUGUGAUUGUGUAAAUCCUAAAGUAUUUGGAUAUCUUUAAAAGAUUCUCUAGGAUUAGAUAUUAUCCAAUUAGAAUUGUAAUCCUAUUGGAGUUAGGAAUUUACCUUCCCUACUACUAUAAAUAAAGGCACAAUGAGGUGAUAUAACACACACCUCACAAAUACACAUCUCUCUCUUCUCUCUAUGUGCCGCCGCCACCUCUCUUCCUGUCCUUAAUAUUGAUUAGUAAAUUAGGCCUACAAUACGUUAUCAGCAUGUUCUUGGCAGAAGCUAAGGAACUAAAAGUUCGUGGAGGAGACUCUUCCACAACAUUAAAGGCUCAAUUGUUUUAUGCCAAUCAGAUUCUUUUAAAAUAAAUUAAGAUAUCUAAACAACCGUGAAGCAUGAAAACAUUCUUUAUGAUCCAUGAACCCCUUAUAUUUAUAUUUUUCUUUUGAUACACACACACACACACACACACACAUUCAUGCAAUACGUAAUUAUACUCUGAAAUUUGUGAGUUAAAGCAUCAAAAUAAUUUAGAAGCCAUAAGGGUCCCUAGAAAUUGAAUAAAAAAUGGGAUUUUUUUGCGGCUGAGCCGCUGCUUCCCGCCACACUGCCGGUGGCACCGAUGAACGCCGGCUGGCCUACAGCCACGCCGUCCCUGAACGACGUGGUUCUGACGGUUGGACCUUCGGCCUAGUUUCGGUCUCCUACGGGGCAUGCAGCCCUAGCCCACUCCACCAAAGCUGCAGCUCUAUUGAGCUUGCUCCCGCGCCCCUGGCCCAAAACCAGCAAGCCUGCUGCUUGCUAGGCUUUUCCCUCCGUCUCGGCCCCCUUGCAGCAGCUCCACUUGCUGCUUGGCUCGCCAUGCCACGACCCAUAUACAAAGCCAACCUUCAGUUGGGUUUUGUCGUGCACUAGCCCAAGCCAACAAACGCUGGGCUUGCUGCCUCCCGCGCUACGUCCUGCAUCUAGAACCCAGUUUUUAGCUGGGCCUCUUGCACCCUAGCCCAGUGCUUGUAGCCUUGCGCUGCUGGGCUUCAUCCCAAACACGGCCAGCUGGCCGCAGCCAAGGAGGAUGAGGAAGAGAUUUUAUUAGUUGUAAUCCUAUUGGGAGAAUUUAUCUUUUCUACUACUAUAAAUGAAAGCACAAUGGAUGAUAUAACAAUACACCUCUCUCUUCUCUCUCUGUGUUGCCAACCCCCUCUUUCCCUGUCUUUAAUAUUGUUCAAUAAAUUAGGCCUACAACACUCAUCUAGAUUUUGUCUCAAAAUGGAAUGCAUCAUUGACCAAUAUAUAUAUAUAUAUAUAUAUAUAUAUAUAUAUAGGGAAGUGUUAUUAGCACUCCAAAAAUUUCAUUCUACACUCCUCACAAGUGUAUUUUUUUUCCUAAUAUAAAAAGUUUAGAGUGUAGAAUGAGAUUUUUAAAGUGCUAAUAAUAAUUUCGUAUGUAGGUACGUAGGUACAUACGUAGGUACGUACGUAUGUAUGAAAACUGCAAGUAGUGUGCUUGCCCUCAGACGUGGGGUGUUCCACUACUCCAUAAUGCAAUCUUUAUGGUCCUACUUUGAAGGAAUUACAAUUAACCAAGUUAUUAACUCCUAGCUGUGAACUCUAAUGUCUGACAGAGAUAAUGAACGGUAUAAACCCUGAUCAUAAUUAGUAGAGUCCAAAAUAAGUUUUAACAGUGGAGUCAUCCCGAGUCGCCUUAACACGAUUUCUCGACAAUAAUCCCAUUCCACGGUUCUCGCUCCGGACCGUCCUUAGUAGAGAUGCCGUCACCUCUGACAGCAUUUUCACCAACACCGGAUAUUUGGACGGGAAGAAAAGCUUUGCUUUUUUUCUCUACUUUGCUGCGUCCUUCAUGGUGCUUGCAGAGGUUGAGUGCUUUCCUUCUUGUAGCUCUCUUUUCUUCAAGUUACCCAGGGUGAUUCUCCCUAACAUCUAUUUCUAUAAGAACUCACAUGGAAAGAACCUAGCUUGUUUUUUUGACAUGUUUGUCGAUUAACUCUCUCUGACUCUCUCUUGCUCACGGCUAAGAUGAUGGAAGAGCUUCUCUCACACUCGUGUUGUUUUGUGCUAGGCUCAAGCUUCUAGCUUUUCACCCUCACACUGCACACACUAUAACGUGCGCCCAGUACAGUUGCUUGAUCAAAUACCAAUUCAGCUUUGAACUUUGCUUUAAUGCUCUUUCAAUUGAAUUAUGUCAGAUGCUGGAAAUCUACACUUUGCAGACUUGAUUUUUGCAGAGAGCAAAUCUUUGCUGCAGUUUUUUCUCUACUCUUUGAAGGGUGUGGCUCUUAUUUUCUGAACUCUCGUUCACUCACAAAUGAAGGGUUCAACAAGCUCUUUUCCAAAGCACUUUGCACUCUUGGUGCUCAUGUCACAAGUUUCUGUUUUAGCUUGAACAUGUCUUAUUCUUCUCUUCUGUGCUUUGACAAAUUUUCUGGAUUUUUUUUCAUAAACUUGCUCCAUUUUUUUUCUCCUUGGCAUGCUAAGAUGAGCCCCAUGUGCCUUCUUGCUGCCAUCUCUUUGUUGGUUUGGAGGAAGAAAUCAAACCCAAAAUGGGUACCUUCAGGUUGUUGGAGGCAGUGAGCAAAGCAUUUCUUCUUUGUCAUCUGUUGCCUUCUCAAAAUCCAUUUCUCUUUUGGUUUUGCUGAUCUCUCACCACAUACGGCCAUGCUCUCUUCUUGUUGUUGGAUUUGACUCAGAGGUCGAACACUUCGUGCUCAAAACUUGUUCUCCUCCAACGUAAAGAGAAAGAUCUCAGAGGUCAGCUCCUCUUCCUAGAAGUUUAGACUUGUUUCUUUUCUAUAGCAUGUCUUCUUCUCUUUCUCUUUGAACCAAAACUCUGAUACCAUGUUGGUAUUCAAGCAAUCUUUCAUCUCAAUAAACUAAACACACGGAUUAUGCUAGAAAGAUGAAGCUAUAUGACAAAUAUGAUCAACAGCUUGCUGCAGAAACAGACUGCAGGGAAGAGCUUUUCACGAAGAGAGAUUUUUCUGAUUUGGAUUAAUAGUCCCAAAACUUAGGACAGCUGCUAAGGCUAUAGUGCAGCAACAUUACAGUUCAUCUAUUCCAUACACGUGGUAGCAGAUUAGAGGUCACAAAAUAUUACAAGGUUACCAAACAGAACAAUUUAGGUACAACAAAAUAUAAAGCAGCAGAGUAUUAAUUUCAACACUCCCUCUUAAUGCUUUGCUGCUUCAUUCCCAAAAGUUCUCUUACGUAUAUGAAUCUAUCUUUUGGUAAUUCGAUAUCAGCAACUUGAUCUUCAGUCUUACUGUAGACCACAUCCACUUCCUUGUCUUCAACAACACCUCUGAUGUUGUGAUGCUUUAGAGCAAUAUGUAUUGAUUUGCCGUGACAGACAUGACUCUUGUUCAUGGCAAUAGCUGACUUAUUGUUACAAAGGAUAGAAGUUGUUGAUUCUUGUUUCUCACCAAAAUCUUGCAUAAUUUUUCUAAGCCACACUGCUUGAGAAGUUGCAAUUGAAGCCGAUAUAUACUCAACCUUUCCCGUUGAUAAUACAACUAACUUCUGCUUCUUAGAUGCCAUGAAAAUACACUAGUACUUAGAGUAAAUGUAUACCCAGAGGUGCUCUUUAAGUCAUCCACACUACCUCCCCAAUCACUGUCACAAAAUCCAAACAAUUUUGGCUCAACAUCGCUUUCAUGCAUAAUACCAAAGUCCAUUGUACCUUGUAUGUAUCUGAGGAUUCUUUUUGUAACUCCAUAGUGAGUACGAGUUGGUUUGUGCAUAAAUCUGGGCAACAAGCUUGCAACAUACAAAAUAUCAGGUAUAGUUGCUGUCAAAUACAUAGAUUUAUCAGCAUCACCACUAUCAUCUUAUCUUUAAAACUUUUCAUUCACAACUAGAGGUGUUGCUACGGGCUUGCAACCAAUCAUUUUAAAUUUCUCUAGAAGUGUUUUUGCAUAUUUCUUUUGAGUAAUAAAGAUACCAUCGUAUGAUUGAAUAUACCAAUUCCCUAAAAAUAAUGCAUCAUGCCUAGAGCACUCAUCUCAUAUUUCCUCAUCAUGUCCUUGAAAUUCAAGAUUAUUCUAUCACUAUUUCCGAUAUAAACCAAAUCAUCAACAUAUAAGGAAACCAUAAGGAUAUCUGAAGUCCCUUGGUUUUGACUUAGAGGGCAAGUUCACUCUCGCUUCUUUGAAAUCCCAAAUGGUUGGUUGCAUGUGAAUGAAAAGGUUCAAAGAAAAGAUGAUAAUAGUGAUGCUGAUGAAUCUAGUAGUGAAUGAGCAUCAUCACUAGAGAUGGUAGUUGUUUUAAUAUCAAUGUAUAACAGGCCACAACUGCAAAGCUAGUGAGUGUGACAGAAGCAAGUGGGUAGACUUUUCCUGUAAGGAAAAGCUAACUAUAUAAAAGAAUAGUGUGGUUGAAAAUAUAUUCAACCAAGGGAUUUCUCUAUAUAUGAGAGAAAGUGCAUAAAUGCAAGUGUGUGCAACCAGAGCUUGUUACCAUAGUGUGCAAACCAAGAACUUGUUAUCAGGAAGUGUAGAGUUGGAAACAAGUUUGGAUUCUAACAUAGAGCCGGCCUCUCAUGAGUUCCAAGAAACACUAACAAAAUCAUGAUAUAAAUGGAAACAAGUUUGGACUCGAUUGGAGCCGACCUCUGAGUCAAAGUUUAUGUUUAUUCUUCUUCUCUACCUUGUCAAAAUUCGAACAUACUUGUGUACAAUAUUUAUAUUACUAAAAUUUAAAUCAUUGAUUAAGUUGAAUCUUGUUUGAAAUGUCUACUUGUUCAAUCUGGUCAAACCUGACAAUACAUGUCUAACCUCACAUAAUAUGUUGGUAGUAUAAAAUUUUAUGCUAUAACUUAUGAAUUGUUGAUGAAGUUGGUUUUUGUAUGAAAUAUGUAGUUUAAAUUAAUAUUUCGUAUCAAUAAAAUUCAUAUCGUAUCGUUGAGGUUCUUUUAAAACAAAUGUAGCUUAAAUUAAUAACUUGAAAACAUGUCUGGUUACAUAAAAUGUUUGUCAAAAAACUGAAUCAGUGAUCAAGUUGAUUUUUGUCUGAUAUGUCUGAUCUCAGACAAGUGAACAUUCUAUAGUAGUAUUUUCUUGCCCAUGUUCCAUCUUAUUGACCGCACUAAUUAAUUUUGCACACCAUAAUAUAUGUCUAAUUAGCUAAAUUCUUAUUUUGUUUGUUUACUUUAGUGCUUGCCUGCAACAUAUAAAGUUCUGUGGGGCUGUGAGGAACAUGAAAAGGCUGUGGAAGAAGCUUGUGAGCUUCUGAAAAUACUGGAAAAUGAGCUCAAAGACAAGAAGUUCUUCGCAGGAGAGACGGUUGGACUUGUGGACAUUGUUGCCAACUUCAUAGGCUACUGGCUUAGAGCCAUUCAAGAAGUUGUGGGAGUGGAGCUGUUGACCAAAGAGAAGCUUCCCAAACUGUACAAUUGGAGCGAUGAGUUUUGCAGUGUUUUUCAGGAAAGUCUGCCUCCCAAAGAUAAACUAGUUGCACACAUCCGUGGUCGCCUUCAAAGCACCAACACCACUACUACUUCAAGCUAAAAUGGUUCAUAGAACCAUAGUCAUAAGAUGGUUACCUUCGAAGCAUUUCAUUGCUCAUGGUAUUUUAUAAGAAUAAAAUCAAGAUUGCACAUAUCGCUAGAUCGGGUUCUGAACAUAUACAUGUAUGUAUAUGUAUCUGUGUGAUUUCCUUCGAAGCAUUUCGUGGCUCAUGAUGUUUUAUAAGAAUAAAAUCAGGAUUGAACUUGUGGCUAGAUCGGGUUCUUUGAGGGAUGGAUCCUUAUUUUUUUUUCAAAAAAUAGAGAUUAGUUGUGGGGCCUACAUCAUAUUGAACUUAAAAAAAAAAUAGAGAUUAGUUGUGGGGCCUACACUAUAUUGAACUUCAACGAUUUAAACCAUUUAUUUUUCAAGUUGCAACUCGUAGUUCAUCUUGUAAAAUAUUAGCCAAAUCAAAAAUAUUUUAAGUAUCUAAUUGAGUUCAAAGAAAUUGAUAAACAUUAUGUUCUAAGAAACAUUAAAUUUUAUCGUGAUAAUUAAAUAGACAAAUGAUCUCGAAUUGAAUUGAACUUUUGCAAGGAUGAUCAGUAAAUCGAGACUUACAAAAUAGACCGUUCAGAUCGUUGAAGUUCGUUGUGAAGUGGGUUCCACAACUAAUCAACAUUUAAAAAAAAACAGGAGUUCCUUCAUGUAAAGGGCUUGCAAAGCUCUAUAUAUAUGUAUGUGUGCACGCGCGCUCGCAUAUGCAUGCAUAUAUAUAUCUUGAUAGACGUGACAAUACUACGUACUCUAAGCUAUAUUGAUGGAGGGAGAAAGUUUGAACACCAAAAUAUAAUGAAUUGACGAAGAAUGUUUAAUACACUUCUUCAAUCCACCACUUGCAAGGUUCUUAGUUUACUUAUAUAUUCUAUGCACCGCCAAUUUUUUUAUAUGACAUCUAUGGAAUAUAAGUUUUUCAACUAAUUAGUGUUGAUAUAUAUGAUUUACUGUUUACAUGUAAAUCAGAUCAACAUUAACUAUAACAUUUGCCUCCUACAGAAAAAUGUAAAAUACAUAGUAAAUUUGUAUAUAAUGCAGGUACCCGUAUUACACACAUAUUUUUCAAAAUACUUUCAUUUUCCGUACAUGUUUCAUUAAUUCAUUAAAUUACACGUUUUUAGAACUCAUACACAUAUUAUUCACUACAUACAAAGAACGAAGCCAGAGAUUUGCAUGGAUACCUGGUAUCCUCAAACAACAAAAUUACAAAUUAAAAAGUUAAAGAAUGUACUAAACAAAACACUUGUAUAUUAAUCCAUAAAGUCUUUCAUACAACAUAUUACAAUAUCUCUCGAUGCAUUUUUAUGUUUUUAAAACGUUACAUGACAACCUCAUUAUCAAUACCAUCAAAUAUAUAUAUCUCUCUCUACAAAAAUAACCAUGUUAUCAUUCAUCCUUGAUCUCCCAUCCAAUUUCUCAAUCAAUCUAGAAUUUUUCAUAGGUGAAAAUGCUUUUUCAACGAUGACAGUAGCACAUAGAAGAGUUAAUACUAAUGUCACAAACAACUUGAAGAGUUUUUUUGCGCGCGCACACACACACACACAAAUUGAGAGAGGGCAUGCGCCCUCCUUGGGCCCAAGGUGCCUCCUCCAUCUAUACUACAUACAUGCUUUUCACAUUUAGUACAUGUUAUUUUUCACAGAUGUUUGAAUAAUACACACAUCCUAGACGUAUUUACAUGUAACAUAUUGUUGAAGAAACAAAAAUAAUUAUUUAAUUUAAUUUAAUCUUAUUAAAAUUUUAAAAAAAAUGGCCGAAUUUUUUAAAGUAAUUUUUAGAAAAGUUGCCGAUUAAUACAUCUACUUAUUUUUUACGUACUAUACCCGUUUCGUAUUUUAGUAAGGCUAAAUCGCAAAAAUAUUCCUUGAGAUUUCAAAUCAAUAGAAGUGGUCCCUAAGAUUUUCCACCAUCCAUCAUUUUCGUCAUUCCGUUAAAAACUCCAUUAAGUGUCUCGGAGCUCUUGGCUGGAAGUAUGAGCAAUUUUCAAAGAUUCGUAACUCAAUCGUUUCUUAACCAAAUUUGACCCAUAAUAUUUCAAAAUGAAGAUAGGAAAGUGUAGAAUAAGAUUAUACCUAUUUGGAAGCCCAAUGGUUGCCGAAGAUGGUCGGAAAAUAGCCUCAAUGUUGAUUGGUUCGAGGAAAAACUGGAAAACUCGCCGGAAACUGGGUAAACUUUAAACGUUCAUAACUUCUUCAAUACUCAACGAAAUCAAGUGAUUAAAAUCAUAGUUCUCGACAAGACAAAGAGAAUGGUACCUUUUUCGACAGCUAACUCGUCGUGGUUUGGCCGAACAACGGCUCGAAAAUGACUGUCUUGGUUUCGAGUUAGCCACUUUCGAGCCUUUUCCGGCCAAACCACGAUGAUUUAGCAGUCAAAAAAGGUUUCAUUCUCUUCAUCUCGUUGAGAAGUAUGAUUUUCGUUUUUGAAUCACUUGAUUUCGUUGAGUAUUGAAUAAGUUAUGAACGUUUAAAGUUUACCCAGUUUUCGGCGAGUUUUCCAGUUUUCCCUCAGACCAGUCAACUUUGAGGCUAUUUUCCGGCCAUCUCCGGUAACCAUUGGGCUUCCAAAUAGGUAUAAUCUUAUUCUACACUUUCCUAUCUUCAUUGUGAUAUAUUAUGGGUCAAAUUUGGUUAAAAAAAUAUUGAGUUACGAAGUUUUGAAAAUUGCUCAAACUUCCGGCCAAAAGCUCCGGGACACUUAACGGAGUUUUUAACAAAAUGACGAAAAUGAUGAAUGAUGGACAAUCUCAAUGACCACUUCUAUUGAUUUGAAAUCUCAGGGACCAAAAUGAUGUGUUAUACAAAUCUCAGGAACCAUUUUCACGAUUUAGCCAUUUAGUAACUAUGAGAAGUGCAAAAGGACUUCUAAAUUUUCUAGCUGUAGUGACAAUAUUUUUCUUCAUGUAUGUAAUGCGUUGUUUGCUAUGAUGUCAUUGAAAACAAAGGUUUACUGAACAAACUUAUAACCAUGUGUGACCAAAACUACGGUCUUUCAAUAUCACCUAGUUGUAAUUAUUAAUAAAUAUUAGUAGUCCUUACUUUUUUGGGAGGUCUCGCCAAGACCUAACGUGAGAGGUAGUUCACACGAGUCUUUUUUAAUCCUAUUAAAUUUAGUUCUUGUACGUAAUAAACACAGAAUUAUACUAAUAUGUAGUUCAAUUCAGUCCAUUAAAAUUUAGUGAAGCCAAACAAACGUAUCCUAAAAUGACUCUUUAGCCUGUAUGGAUGCUAGUGCCACCGCAUCUGAUCAUAAAAAAGAUUUGAUGACCAUAUUCUUCGGUGAUCCAUUUUUUAAGACUUCAUGGCUUAUUGAGGCCCAGCCUACCUUGUUGAAGGGGUGUGUUAUUCACACACACCAUUUUACUUCUCACACACCCCUUAAUAAUUUCUGUCCGUUGAUCUUCUUCAAUUCAUCCGAUGCAACGGUUGAAAAUUAAAAAAGUGUGUGAGAAGUAAAAUAGAGUGUGUGAAUAUCACACCCUCCUGUUGAAAUAGAAUAAGCUAACUUUAAGGGCUUGUAAAAUGCAAUAACAUUUUGGAGCCCAAUUGCCACCUCGUUGCAAAUUGUUGGUAGUUUUUAGUAUUUUGAUCUGGAGACUUCUAAAUGUACACUAGAAUCUAAUUAUCUAAUUAAUACAUCUAGCAUUUGGAAAGUUUACUCUAAGUUAGAAGUUUUAAGUUUGAUUAUUUUGAAUGUGAGUUCAUCAUGAUUAUAGUUAGCUUAUUGUGUAGCCUAAAUACUCACGUCGAUAUUGUUGUUUAAAGAAAAAUGUGUUGUCGUUAUUGACACUAAAAAAAUAUCGUUGUGUACUACUCAUAAACAAAACUACAUAAGCGCAUUUUCCUUUUUAAAUAGGGGUGUGCUAUCCACACACCCCUUUUUACUUCUCACACACCCUUGUUAAUUUAUGUUUGUUGAUCUUCUUUAAUUCAUCCGAUCCGACGGCCGAAAACUAAAAAGGUAUGAGAGAAGUAAAAAAUGAUGUAUGAAUAUCACACCCCUUUAAAUAUUGAACAUUUGGAUUAUACAGUAAAACUUUUGAAAUAUCAAUAACGACAAUAACCUCCCAAUAAAAAGUUUAAAAUUUAUUGAAGUCUUGGACAUAAUAUAUUGAUUAUUGAGGCCCUUAACGCGAGUUGGACUAUGAAUACAAAUAGGUAUGUAUAUGAUAAAACCAAUAAAAACUAAUGACCCAAUCAAUGGAGAAGAAUAUAAUACCAAUACAGCAGAUAAAGCUCAUUUGGAUUUGGUUUCAAUGAGAAAUUGUCAAUAAACACAUUUUCUAGAUCUUUCCUCAACUAAAUCACAAUUUUAAAUUACUAUUGACUAUUGAACACUGUAGAGUUGUCUUAGCGGCCAAGUAAACACUGUUUUCCGGCCACUAUAAAACCCCAGAAGGAAGAUUAAACCGGUCAUAAUAUGCACACAAGAGGGAGAUUAGUUAGUGUUAAACUUGAUUAGUUAGUGCUUAUAUCAUGGCUGAAGAAGUGAAGCUGUUGGGAGUUUGGGGAAGCCCAUUUAGUAGGAGGGUGGAAAUAGCUCUGAAGCUGAAAGGAGUGAAAUAUGAAUACUUUGAGGAGGACCUACAGAGCAAGAGCGCUUUGCUUCUGAAAUCCAACCCAGUUCAUCAGAAGAUCCCUGUGCUGCUGCACAAUGACAGACCAAUAGCUGAGUCCCAGGUCAUUCUUGAGUACAUUGAUCAGACUUGGAAGGAGGGUUUUCCCAUUUUGCCUAAAGAUCCUUAUGAAAGAGCCCAGGCACGUUUCUGGGCUAGGUUCAUUGAUGAAAAGGUUAAAAUAUUUCACUUUAAUCUUUUCGUAUUAAGUAUAUAAGAAAAGUUAUCUUGCUUUAUUGUGCAUCUAAAUCAUUGAUGAUCAAGGUUAUUUUUAACAAAGUUGAUUAUAGCAUGAAUGUAUAGAUUAACAGUCUGUCAACAUAAGUAUGUGCAUAGAGAUUUUGCAAUGAGUAUAUUUGCUAGAAAUUCUUUUGUGACUACCCGUGUUAAACUUUAUAUACUACUAAACUUGACAAUACAUGUCUGACCCAACAUGAUAUGUUGGUAGUAUAAAAUGUUUACGCUACGUACAAAAUAUGAAUUGUAAUUAAGUUGGUUCUUUGUAUGAAAUAUGUAGUCUAUAGGUUAAUAAAAUUUCCAUAUCAAUAAAAAAUUUCUCGUACUGUUGAGGUUUCUUUAAAAAAUUUGUAAUCUAGAUUAACAACUUGAAAACAUAUGCCUAGUUACAUAAAGUUUUUAUGUCAGAAAAGCUUCAUCAAUGAUCAAGUUGAUUCUUUUGAGUCUUAUAACAUUAGUUUGACAAGUGAACAUGAGUGUAUAUAAUUCUAUUUUCUUGCCAUGUGACAGCUUAUUGACCGCACUAAUAAAUUUUGCAAACAAAAAUAUGUCUAAUAAGCUAAAUUUUUAUUGUGUUUGUUUACUGUAGUGCUUGCCUGCAGCAUGGAAAGCUCUCUGGGGCAGUGAGGAACCUGAGAAGGCUGUGGAAGAAGCCUGUGAGCUUCUGAAAUACUGGAAAAUGAGCUCAAAGAUAAGAAAUUCUUCGGGGGAGAAACGGUUGGACUUGUGGACAUUGUUGCCAACUUCAUAGCCUACUGGCUUGGAGCCAUUCAAGAAGUUGUGGGAGUGGAGCUGUUGACCAAAGAGAAGCUUCCCGA